UACAGAGGGGGCAAGCGUUGUUCGGAAUUACUGGGCGUAAAGGGCGCGUAGGCGGCCUUCUAAGUCGAACGUGAAAUCCCCGGGCUCAACCCGGGAACUGCGUCCGAUACUGGAAGGCUUGAAUCCGGGAGAGGGAUGCGGAAUUCCAGGUGUAGCGGUGAAAUGCGUAGAUAUCGUGAGGAACACCAGAGGCGAAGGCGGCUUCCUGGACAAUUGCUGACGCUCAGGCACGAAAGCGUGGGGAGCAAAAGGG
rnacentral:rRNA from 1 species